ACGGGUUUCAUGGUUGUAACAUCCUUUGAACUACCUAUUAAAUGGAGUCCAGAAAAAUGAUCACCCCAGAUAUCAUAUUUAUAUUUAUCCCCUACCUUUUCUUCUACUUUUUUCUGGUUAUAAAGCCUGGGCCCAGGAGCUCGAGCAUGAGGAGCAAUUGUAGAUUUUGAAGCUGGAGAAGUGUGCAUCAGAUUGGGGACAGCCCUACCACCAGAAGGAAUAGUGGCAGAAGGCAACAAAACGGGCUUUCCAGUAGUUUCUUCUGGCACUGAAAGUUGCUUUGCAGUAGCAGAGAAACAAUUACUACUGUAGCAUUCUAAAUAAACCCUGGGCUCCAAUACAGUUGCCUUGGCAGUAGACUCAGCCACUCGAACCUCACCCUGUUGGUCAGCCACUAGAGUGAAUGGAUUUCUAGCUUCAAUAGGGUCCAUGUCAGGAGAUGGUGACCAAGUACGAUUAGGAGUCACAUUCAUUACAGGAGAUAGAGGAGAUGAAGGUGUGGAAUUCCCACUUUGACUCACUUUGACUACUUGAAACUUCAAAAAGUCCUGUUAAACCUGCAGUAACACCCUUUCUCUUCCUUCGCCUUCUUCCUUUCUCUUUUCCAAUCCUGACGGUAAGGCUACAAGGUUGGGAAGCGUCAAGUGCAUUAGAAUUUUCAAUUGCUACAGAUUUUGACAGCAAAGAUGGUACUGCUUUGUGAUCUUCUAGGGAUGGUAUCCCAUUCUCAACAGUUAUCCCAUGGUCUGGGCCUCCAAGUUGACUACCAGGAUAUUUAUAACCAGAUGCCUGCUCUGAGGUUUUGCCUUCAACUGAGCUUAACAAGCCAUCCAUUUCAGGAGGCAUACAAAACUUACUGCUUUUCUGACUAAAAUCCUGGCGAGCAGAUUUCCCUGAACUUCUCGCUGUAGCAUGAACACUCUUCUCACUCUUAUAGAAAUAAUCCUGGGAGCCAAAACUCAUCACUUGGGGGAAUAUGCAGCAAAAGAUCAAGAACAUCAAGGAAGCAGAAAGAAACACAACUGUAGAGAAUUUCUUCAAUCUCAUCCAGAAUACUGAUUUCUUGCAAAGAUUGAACACAUAUACAGGAAGACUUGCCUUCAUUGGUAUCACAAAAAUUCCGCUAGCCAAGGCCAGUUCUAGAUCUCUUUGUAACAUUGGCGCAUAAAAAUCAGGGUGGUAUGAUAUCAAAAGCUUUGUUGACUCACCUGGUUCAAGUGAAAAACCGUUACAAUUAUGAACAAUAAACCCAUCCAACCGACACUCUGUUCCAGAAACUUCAAUACUUUUCACCUCAAAAGGCAAGUCUCCCGUGUUUUGGGCAUACAGCUCUUUCGACAGCUGCUGAGAACAAGCAUAAGUGGUCUCUUUCAUGUUAAAUAACGGGUCUGGAGGAGAGAGAUUUAGAGGAAAUGACAAGUUGAGAUUAAAUUCUAUGCUCUGAAUAGGCUCAGACCCCUCAAGCAGGACAAGGGAAAGUGAACCUCCAACUCCUCUCAAAGAUAACCAUUCGACACCAGAAAGAUUGUUCCUUAUCAGGGC
rnacentral:misc_RNA from 1 species